rnacentral:rRNA from 1 species
AACGUAGGAGACAAACGUUAUCCGGAGUUACUGGGCGUAAAGGGCGUGUAGGUGGUAUCGUAAGUCUGGCGUGAAAUUUCUCGGCUUAACCGAGGCAGGUCGUCGGAUACUGCGAGGCUAGAGGACGGUAGAGGCGUGUGGAAUUCCGGGUGUAGUGGUGAAAUGCGUAGAGAUCCGGAGGAACACCAGUGGCGAAGGCGACACGCUGGGCCGUACCUGACACUGAUGCGCGACAGCAUGGGGAGCAAAC